CUCAAAAGGACAUUGAAAAAUGCCUGGAAUCAACCCGGGCGUUCAUGCGCAAUAAAGGGUGCAAUGUUUCCAGUUGGACUUGUGGCACUGUCCCCCAUCCCAGGCAACAAGAUUCAACCUCUUGUGGUGUAUUUGCUUUGAAAUUUGCAUAACAUCUUCUUUCAGAUGAAGAAAUAGAUUUAUCAGCAAAGGCGAAUGAUGUAAAUAGGUACAGGCUGCAAAUUGCCACCACACUUCUAUUAGAGACUGAUGAUUUAUCUAACUUGUGCUGUGUUUGUGGGGAAGCUACACAUGACACAGACAACAGAUGGGUAAUUAUGUCAGGUCUUGUUAACUAAUGCAUGUGAUGAUUAAGAAAUAUAUUGAAUUACACAUUCGUUGUAAAUUAUUGUAAAUGUGCUGCAUUGUAUGAUCUUGCUUUUUUCUUUGUU